rnacentral:misc_RNA from 1 species
GAUGAAGAACGUAGCGAAAUGCGAUACGUAAUGUGAAUUGCAAAUUCAGUGAAUCAUCGAGUCUUUGAACGCACAUUGCGCCCGCCAGCACUCUGGCGGGCAUGCCUGUUCGAGCGUCAUUUCAACCAUCAAGCCCCCAGGGGCUUGUGCUGGGGCCCUGCGGCUGCCCGCAGGCCCUGAAAACCAGUGGCGGGCUCGCUAGUCACACCGAGCGCAGUAGCACAUCUCGCUCAGGGCGUGCGGCGGGCUCCUGCCGUGAAACCCCCCACUGUAACCCCAAAGGUUGACCUCGGAUCAGGUAGGAAUACCCGCUGAACUUAAGCAUAUCAAUAAGCGGAGGA